AAUGAACGUUGGCGGCGUGGAUUAGGCAUGCAAGUCGAGCGAGAACCCGCAAGGGGGACAGCGGCGAACGGGGUAGGACAACGUAGGUAACGUACCCUCGGGGCGAGGACAGCCACGGGAAACUGUGGGUAAUACUCGAUAAUCUUCCCUUUCAUGAUGGAAGGGGAAGCAAUGGGUGAGAUUCCACCUGAGGAGCGGCUUACGCAGUACCAGCUUGUUGGGGAGGUAACGGCUCACCAAGGCGACGACGCUUAGGGGGUGUGAGAGCAUGGCCCCCACCACUGGCACUGAGACACUGGCCAGACACCUACGGGUGGCUGCAGUCGAGAAUCUUCGGCAAUGGGCGCAAGCCUGACCGAGCGACGCCGCGUGCGGGAUGAAGGCCUUCGGGUUGUAAACCGCUGUCAGAGGGGAUGAAGUGUACGGGAGCUAUCUCCUGUAUUUGACAGAGCCUCAGAGGAAGCACGGGCUAAGUUCGUGCCAGCCGCCGCGGUAAUAC
rnacentral:rRNA from 1 species